AUAUUUUAAAUAUUCAUAAAGAUUAUGAUGUUUAUUUUCUUCUCUUUUUGCUCCUGGAAAUUCAUCAGAUUUAGAGUUCUUCUUCUCUUUUUGCUCUACAGAACUUUAUUUUCUGCUGGUCGCUCAACGACGAAGGUUUAGCGUUAUUGAAGUUUAGAGAAAGAAUAGUGAGUGAUCCGUACGACGCGUUGAAGAAUUGGAAGGAUGAGGAUGGAGUUGUUAAUCCGUGUUAUUGGUUUGGAGUUGAGUGCUCUGAUGGCAAAGUUGUCGAAUUGAACUUGAAAGAUCUUUAUCUUGGAGGAACACUAGCACCUGACCUCAGAAACCUUGUUCGCAUAAAGUCUAUCAUUUUGCACAACAAUUCUUUUACUGGCAUCAUUCCUGAAGGGAUUGGAGAGUUGAAGGAGUUGGAGGUGCUAGAUUUUGGAAAUAAUAACUUCACCUCUCCUCUCCUCUCCUUGAAUCAGCGUAUUUUAGCACACUGAUUCACUAAACCAGCCCGCUAUGUCGCAACCAUUUGAGAGGAAUUGUUUAUUUCUACACAAUUUAAGACCAGAAGAUGUUAAGAGCCGAUGAAGGCCUUACCGUUCUGUCCACCAUUGUUUAAAAUUUCAAUUGUUGGAUGUAUCUACCCUUGCAAAACAAACAUUAAAGUGAAAAGCAAAGGAGCCUUGGACAACAUACUGCAUAUUUUGCAGGAAUGCAGGGAUAUUAUGUCU